AAUCAUUCUGGGCUCCCUGUCUGGAGAUCUCAGUCCUGGGGAACAGGCUCUCUGGCCCUUGGAAAAGGCCCACUCUAGGGCGUGGGAAAGGAAGAAAGGCAAUAAGCAGAUAGGAAGGAGCACUCAGUGCCGCUGCUUCCCUGGGCUGCAAAGCCCCUCGAGGCUGGGUGGGACAGUCUCCCUCCUGCGCGCGCUGAAGAGGCGGCGGCGGCCUCGGUAGCUCCUCUUGGCCAAGCGGUUCUCAGGGUGCAAUCUCGGGACCGGCAUCAUCUCCCUCACCUGGCAACUUGUUAGAAGAGCCACUUCUCUCGGCCCCACCUAGACCUGCCCAAUCAGAAACUCUGCGGGCGGGGCCCAGCAAUCAGUGUUUUAACAAGCCCUGCAGGUGCUUCUGGGGCUCAAAGAGGAGGAAAGAAUGGAAGAACGGAGAGAGGAAAGAAGGGCCUCUUCUUUAAGGCUGAGCAGAAGCCUCCCCGCCUGCCCCCUCCCAGGCUUCAUAACAGCCUGCUGUGGGCUCCCGGGUCCAGGUGGAGCGGGGAGGAGGCUUGGCCAGAGCAAGCGCCUAAGGACAGAGAGCUGAUGGCAUGAUUGGCUGCAAGGACGAGAGGCAGAAAGGUUGAGGGGGGCCAAGACAGGACCAGGGCCUGGGUAACUGGGACCCACGGGCCCCCACCUUUCUUGCUCUCCCCAAGGGUGUAGCCAGAAAAUCCCAUAGGAGCCUUUCCAGCUUGGGGCUGAGCUGGCUUUCAUUCAUUGGAUCCAUACUUCUGUUUUGUGGGUCUCCAGCUCAGAUCGGGGCUGCUCUGCCGGGGGUUCAGUUAGUACUCGUCCUCCAGGAGUUUAAUGAGCCAACUGACCAUGUCCAGCGCCCUCCCCUCCUCGGGUUCCCCAUCUUCACAGCUGUCCCACUCUCCGCAGCUCCAUCCAGCGUCAUGAACCGCAGCAGCAGCACCAGCAGCAGAGAUGAAAAGCCAGUAACCACCGUGCUCUGGGGCUGUGAGCUCAACCAGGAGAAGCGGACCUGGACCUUCCAGCCCCAGGUGGAGGGGAAGCUGGACUGUAAGCUGAUGCUUAGUACGAUUUGCUUGGGGGAGAAAGCCAAAGAGGAGAUGAACCUCGUGGAGAUCCUGCCCCCAGCGAAAGAGGCAGACAAGCAGCAGCUGCCAGUCACCAUCGCCUCGCUCCAGGCCUCCAUCCUGCCCAUGGUGGCCAUAACGGGGCUGGAGCUUUCUCCUCCCAUCACCUUCCAGCUCCGGGCUGGCUCUGGACCCGUGUUCCUCAGCGGCCAGGAAUGCUAUGAUGCUGCAGACCUGCCCUGGGAGGAGGAGGAGGAGGAGGAAGUAGAGGAGGAGGAGGAGGAAGAUGACGAUGAUGAGGAAGAGGUGUCCCUGGAGGAGGAGUCUCCUGUUAAGCAAGUAAAGAGACUGGCACCCCAGAAGCGGACAAGCGUUGCCAAGGUGGGGAGAGGGAUGCGGCUGGCUGCGUGGCAUGCGACCCUCCAGAGGUGCCUCAGAGGAACUGGGCACCAGAAGCCGGGGCCAGGCCUCCCAAGUAGAGUGUGCAGGAUGCACCAAGGCCGCAGGCUGGCCCCCGUCCUCCUGGGGGCCCGGUUGAGGAAACCGUGGGCCCUGCGGUCUGUCCUGGCCCGGGGACCUCACCCUGACUCUCCUAGUAACUCUUGUUUUUGGUUCCUAGAAAAAAAAGCUGGAAAAAGAAGAAGAGGCGGUGAGGUAUCUCUUUCCAUCUAUUAAAUUAGCCCAAACCUUUUAGCUGAGGUAUAUAAUGCUAGAAAGGGUGUGGUGCAGCUGGCGUGUGUACAAGUAUGCACAUAUGUGUGUGGACGUGUAGGUACACACAGGCAUAUGGAUAUGAUGCACUGUGGGUUGGCACACCAUUUUUGAAAAACAUUAAAGUGUUCUUAUCUUCUGACCUAAUUCCACUUCUGGCAAUAUCCUCCGAAGAUUCCCAUCUAAAAUACGGAGGGCGGUGGUAUGUGCACUAGGAAGUUUCACUGCAUUAUUCAAAUCAUAGUAAACAUGGAAGCAAUCUACAUGUCCAGUAUAAUAGUUGAUUACGCCGUAUCUUCUCAAUGGAAUGCCAUAUAAUGUUUAGGGAGGCUACAGCAAUCUGGGAAGGGUUUGUAGAGUUCAAAGAAUAAGCUAUCAAAUCGUUUACAUUUAGUUUCACAUGUUUUCAGAAGUUUGACCUUAAAACAAAACAAAACUCUGACAGGAUAUACACCAAAAUGUUAAUUUUGGUGGCAAGUAAAAAAAAUUAUAAGUAACUUAUUCUCUUGUCUUUUUACUAGAUUUGCACAGUCAUUACUUUUAUAAUAAAUAUGACAUAUUUGGGAUAAAUAAAAGAAAACAAGAGGAAACCGAAGAACAAAAAAACACCUUGUUUAAAAAGUGAGGCAGGGUGGCCCCAGGGGGUAUCUGGUGUAGCAGGAGAUCGGUGGCUGCCAUCCCUCUCUGGUACCCAGAGCUGCUUCCCAGAGCUGUCCAGGGCAGGCCAGGGCUCCUGGGCACCCAGCUGAGCUCUCUCCCUCCCACCCCUAUCCCAUGACACCCCUGCCCCCCCCAUUCCAGAUCCAGUCUUAAAGACAAGAGCCCUGGGCUAAAGGCCAGACCCACAAUCAGAUCUAAAAAACUGAAAUCCAAGAAAUGAGGAGUGGACUGGCAGCGGCAACGGAGGGGGUGGGCCAGUAGACCACCAUGCAAGAUGGGCCCUCUUGGGGGGUGCUGUGGGUGCAGGGUGCCCCCACCCCGGUCCUCCUCCAUCUCUGAGUCUACAGGAAGAGCCUGUCACCCCUGACUCUCCAGUUUUAGCAGGAGAAGAGCCCAGACUUCAAGGGCACAAUAAAGU